rnacentral:rRNA from 1 species
CCCUUAGAUGUUCUGGGCUGCACGCGCGCUACACUGAAGCUAUCAACACGUUUUCCCUCCCUGAGAAGGGCGGGUAACCUUUUGAAUCAGCUUCGUGGUAGGGAUCGGGGCUUGCAAUUGUUCCCCGUGAACCAGGAAUUCCUAGUAGACGCGAGUCAUAAGCUCGCAUCGAUUAAGUCCCUGCCCUUUGUACACACCGCCCGUCGCUACUACCGAUUGAACGUUUUAGUGAGGCAUUUGGUCCGACGCAUCUCAGUUUAACCGCUGGUUUGUGUUGGAAAGACUUCCAAACUUGAGCGUUUAGAGGAAGUAAAAGUCGUAACA